rnacentral:rRNA from 1 species
UACGUAGGGUGCAAGCGUUGUCCGGAUUUACUGGGCGUAAAGGGCGCGUAGGCGGCCACCGCAAGUCGACUGUGAAAUCUCCGGGCUUAACCCGGAAAGGUCAGCCGAUACUGCGGGGCUAGAGUGCAGAAGGGGCAACUGGAAUUCUCGGUGUAGCGGUGAAAUGCGUAGAUAUCGAGAGGAACACCUGCGGCGAAGGCGGGUUGCUGGGCUGACACUGACGCUGAGGCGCGAAAGCUAGGGGAGCGAACGGG